rfam:Postia placenta Mad-698-R POSPLscaffold_156_Cont6043, whole genome shotgun sequence.
GGGCGCAUGGUGUAGUUGGUUAUCACAUCCGCUUAGCACUUGAGUGUAUUUGCGGGGGGUGCUGGGUUCAAUUCCCAGUGCGUCCA